rnacentral:rRNA from 1 species
AUACGUAGGGGGCAAGCGUUAUCCGGAUUUACUGGGUGUAAAGGGAGCGUAGACGGUUUGGCAAGUCUGAUGUGAAAGCCCGGGGCUCAACCGCGGGACUGCAUUGGAAACUGUCAGACUUGAGUGCAGGAGAGGUAAGUGGAAUUCCUAGUGUAGCGGUGAAAUGCGUAGAUAUUAGGAGGAACACCGGUGGCGAAGGCGGCUUACUGGACUGUAACUGACGUUGAGGCUCGAAAGCGUGGGGAGCAAACAGGAUUAGAUACCCUGGUAGUCCACGCCCUAAACGAUGAAUACUAGGUGUUGGGGAGCAAAGCUCUUCGGUGCCGUCGCAAACGCAGUAAGUAUUCCACCUGGGGAGUACGUUCGCAAGAAUGAAACUCAAAUGAAUUGGCGGGG